rnacentral:rRNA from 1 species
AUUGAACGCUGGCGGCAUGCUUUACACAUGCAAGUCGAACGGUAACAGGCCUUCGGGUGCUGACGAGUGGCGAACGGGUGAGUAAUGCAUCGGAACGUACCCAGAGGUGGGGGAUAACGCAGCGAAAGCUGUGCUAAUACUGCAUGUGAUCUGAGGAUGAAAGCGGGGGACCGAGCAGCAAUGUUUGGCCUCGCGCCUUUGGAGCGGCCGAUGUCGGAUUAGCUAGUUGGUGGGGUAAAGGCCUACCAAGGCGACGAUCCGUAGCUGGUCUGAGAGGACGACCAGCCACACUGGGACUGAGACACGGCCCAGACUCCUACGGGAGGCAGAAGUGGGGAAUUUGGGACAAUGGGCGCAAGCCUGAUCAAGAAAUGCCGCGUGCGGGAAGAAGGCCUUCGGGUUGUAAACCGCUUUUGGAAGGAACGAAACGGUGUCCGCUAAUACCGGGCGCUAAUGACGGUACCUGCAGAAUAAGCACCGGCUAACUACG